rnacentral:rRNA from 1 species
AGCUCCAAUAGCGUAUAUUAAAGUUGUUGCAGUUAAAAAGCUCGUAGUUGGAUUUGUGGGUGUCCCGAGCGGCCUGGCACCUAGUGCCAGUGCUUGCUUGCGUCCCCAUCCUUCGUUGGAACCUGUGUGGCAUUAGGUUGUCGUGCAGGGGAUGGCGAUCGUUUACUGUGAAAAAAUUAGAGUGUUCAAAGCAGGCUUAUGCCGUUGAAUAUGUUAGCAUGGAAUAAUAAGAUAGGACCUUGGUACUAUUUUGUUGGUUUGCGCACCAAGGUAAUGAUUAAAAGGGACAGUUGUGGCAAUUCGUAUUCCAUUGUCAGAGGUGAAAUUCUUGGAUUUUUGGAAGACGAACUACUGCGAAAGCAUUUUGCAAGGAUGUUUUCAUUAAUCAAGAACGAAAGUA